rnacentral:rRNA from 1 species
CGGACCGGUGAGUAACGCGUGAGAAUUCACCUUUAGGCGGGGAAUAACCAUGGGAAACGAUGGCUAAUGCCCCAUAUGCUCGCAAGAGUGAAAGGAGAAAUCCACCCAAAGAGAAGCUCGCGGCUGAUUAGCUAGUUGGUAAGGUAAUGGCUUACCAAGGCGACGAUCAGUAGCUGGUUUGAGAGAACGAUCAGCCACACUGGAACUGAGACACGGUCCAGACUCCUACGGGAGGCAGCAGUGGGGAAUUUUCCGCAAUGGGCGAAAGCCUGACGGAGCAAUACCGCGUGAGGGAUGACGGCCCUUGGGUUGUAAACCUCUUUUAUCAAGGAGGAAGUUCUGACGUGUACUUGAUGAAUAAGCAUCGGCUAACUCCGUGCCAGCAGCCGCGGUAAGACGGAGGAUGCAAGUGUUAUCCGGAAUCACUGGGCGUAAAGCGUCUGUAGGUGGUUUCAAAAGUCUACGGUUAAAAAUUGAAGCUUAACUUCAAAGAUGCCGUGGAAACUUUGAAACUGGAGGAUGGUAGGGGUAGAGGGAAUUUCCAGUGGAGCGGUGAAAUGCGUAGAUAUUGGAAAGACCACCAAUGGCGAAGGCACUCUACUGGGCCAUUACUGACACUGAGAGACGAAAGCUAGGGGAGCAAAAGGAUUAGAUACCCCAGUAGUC